UCAGGCAUCGAAGCUGGCGACGGCCAUUUACUGCUCCGGUUGGGAGAACUGUUCGCGAAGGUGUGCAGUUCGAGUCCGGAAACUAUUAGUGCUUGCAAUGAUGCAGGCUCAGAAACCAGUCAUAAUUCGCGGCCUCGGUGUAAUAGAAAUCUCAUAUCAGUCAUAUUUAUCGAUCGUCAAAUCAUCAUACUCCGUGUUUUCGGUCCUGUACUGAGAAUGACAUAAAUAUUAUUCCAAAGGAUAAUUUAAAAUAAAA
rnacentral:lncRNA from 1 species